GGAGUUCCUAAAAGAAAAGAGAAAGAUCAAAUUAUAGGGCUUGCACUGAGUUUCAAAGAGGAUUGGCAAGAUGGGUUGUAGAAUUAAAUGACAGGCAGAGUGUGUAUGUGGAGAAGGGUUGGUGUAAAUGUAUGUGUGUUGGUGUGUGUGUACACAUGCAUGAGAGAGAGAGGAGGGAAGCAACAGAGGGCUAUUGAUGCAAACCUAUAGCCUAAUUAAUUAUCCACGACAGAAAAAGAAAUUCCUCCUACCCUUGCAAGUUGUCUUGUCUUCCUCUGAAUACAAAGUGUAUACCAACAGAAUCUACCAGCCAACCAGAACAGAAAUUACCCUUGUUUGGAGAACUUCAAAAAAUUAUCAGAUGAGAACUCACAGAAGACACAGGAAUACGACAUAACAACAGAUACAGAGCCUGGAGUAAUGACAGUACAAGUCAAGGAACACCAAGGAUCACCAGCUGCCACCCAACCCAGGAAGAGGAUUUUGCUCCUCAAGUCAUUGUACUUUGGUACCUACGAAUUUCAACCUUGUCCUUCAUACCCCGUGGGUGUGAAGAUUCCUGGCAGGACUCUAUUUCCACGCUGCAACUAGCUGCAGUGCUGCUAAUGGCUGAGGGCAUCACUGAGAUGUUCUGUAACUCACUGCAGGCGAGAUGCCGCUUCAGUAUCCCAUACCUUUGGCUGCUCUUCGUCUACUAUACCUCCUCACACUUCUCCCAGUCACCUUUCCAGCAGCUGUGAUUCCAGCUGAUUUUGGCCACCCACAUUGAUCUGGACAGGAUGCCUCUCAGAUGGAGUCUCCUCAGCCGCCCAGGUUGGAGUGCAGUGGCGUGAUCUCAGCUCACUGCAACCACUGUCUCCCGGGUUCAAUAGAUUCUCCCAACUCAGCCUCCCGAGUAGCUGGGAUUACAGGCACCUGCCAUCAUGCCUGGCUAAUUAGAGAAUAACUUUUUACAGGACUUAGCAUCAUAUUUUUAUUUGUAUAAAAUAAACAUAAAACUAGAGCUUAUUUCCUGUUAACCAUUUUGUGAGUCUUUUUGUACACUUCCAAAACACCAAUAGCCACUUUAUUAUUUUUCUUUUGCUUUUGUUAGCAUCUUUGGGCCACACAAAUAUUUAGAAGAUUUAUGUGGUAUCAAACUCAUAAUUUUGUGUAAACAAAGCUCACCCAUUUCUAUAUAGUUCAUAUUUCUAAGCCAAGGCAAAGACAAAAUAGGGAUCAUUUUUCUUUGACAAUUUUAUUUAGCAUAAAAGACUAUAUACAGGCAUUACACCUGUAAAAAACAAUUCCAUGUAAAUAAUAAACAUAAACCCCAUAAUUUGGUUUAUAUCUUUAUCCACCUAUCAAAUUCCAUGACCAUUCCCUUAAUUUACAUUUUUACCAGUUUGGUCAGGAUUCAUAGUUGGAGACAGUAGAAUCUUCUUUACCUGAUUGAUGCAAGAGGAAUUACUAAGUGAUAUGACUAGUUCACAGAAUUGUUAAGAGAGCUGAGAAAACAGACUAUGAUGACUUCAUUAACCACAACACAGAAUUAGGCCUCUCAAGGAGUUUCUACCUUUACCCUGCCUCUGCCCCUGUGGAUUUGUGGCUGAAUCAGUGGGCUGGUAUUAGUGCUGUUCCUAUGACGAUGGUUCUAGCUCCAGAAUUACAUCAUCUCUUCCACCCUUUUCCAACAAAAUGUAGCCCCACGUCUGCCUCUCUCCCUUGUAACUCAGUUCCAUAUCAGUUUUGUGUAAGUGCAGCUGUACACAGGAUGGACCCUAGUGCAUAUGCAAUGUCCUAGUUGCAGAGGAGUCUGGGAAACACAGGUUUGGGUGUUCUAGUCUCUACAGCACAAAAAGAUAUGAUAGAAGGGAGUUGAAAUGAGAGUUGAUCAAGCCCAAUCUAAUAGUAUAACUCAUAACUUUCUUAUAUUUCUACUGAGGCCAGAAUGGUCUUUAAAAUGAAACCAUAAUGUUGCUACUCCUGACAUAAAAUCCUUCAGGGAAUUCUAAAGUCAUUCAACAUGGGAACUCUUCAAUAUGCAUUAUAAAACUUUGAUGAUGCAACCCUUAUCCAGGUCUGUAGCCUCAUCUCCUUCCCUCAUAUAUGUAUUUACAAAGUCAGUAUGUGGUUUCAGACCUCCCAAUAUUUGCAUAUUCUGUUCUCUUUGCCUGGAACAUCUUUCUCUGUCUUCUUUCCCUAACUAAUUCCUACUAGUACUUCAAUUAGCUUUGCUAUUAUCACUUGUUCCCAAAGAUGCCCAAUCCCUGUAAUAUGAUGGGAUGUCUACCCAUCUAGCCUCAUAUAAUAUUCUACACAUAUUGAUUUGUAGCACUCAUUUCAUGGAACCGUCAUUAGCCUGAUUUAUUUUUCAG
rnacentral:lncRNA from 1 species